AUCUUUAUAGUAUAUAAGUAUAUUUGACUUCCAAUCAUAAGGACUAUUAAUAAAUAGUAAAGAUA
rnacentral:tRNA from 1 species